GAUGAACGCUGGCGGCGUGCCUAAUACAUGCAAGUCGAGCGAACGGACGAGAAGCUUGCUUCUCUGAUGUUAGCGGCGGACGGGUGAGUAACACGUGGAUAACCUACCUAUAAGACUGGGAUAACUUCGGGAAACCGGAGCUAAUACCGGAUAAUAUUUUGAACCGCAUGGUUCAAAAGUGAAAGACGGUCUUGCUGUCACUUAUAGAUGGAUCCGCGCUGCAUUAGCUAGUUGGUAAGGUAACGGCUUACCAAGGCAACGAUGCAUAGCCGACCUGAGAGGGUGAUCGGCCACACUGGAACUGAGACACGGUCCAGACUCCUACGGGAGGCAGCAGUAGGGAAUCUUCCGCAAUGGGCGGAAGCCUGACGGAGCAACGCCGCGUGAGUGAUGAAGGUCUUCGGAUCGUAAAACUCUGUUAUUAGGGAAGAACAUAUGUGUAAGUAACAGUGCACAUCUUGACGGUACCUAAUCAGAAAGCCACGGCUAACUACGUG
rnacentral:rRNA from 1 species